rnacentral:rRNA from 1 species
UUAAGCGACUAAGCGUACACGGUGGAUGCCCUGGCAGUCAGAGGCGAUGAAGGACGUGCUAAUCUGCGAAAAGCGUCGGUAAGGUGAUAUGAACCGUUAUAACCGGCGAUGUCCGAAUGGGGAAACCCAGUGCAAUUCGUUGCACUAUCGUUAACUGAAUACAUAGGUUAACGAGGCGAACCGGGGGAACUGAAACAUCUAAGUACCCCGAGGAAAAGAAAUCAACCGAGAUUCCCCCAGUAGCGGCGAGCGAACGGGGAGCAGCCCAGAGUCUGAAUCAGCUUGUGUGUUAGUGGAACGGUCUGGAAAGUCCGACGGUACAGGGUGAUAGUCCCGUACACCAAAAUGCACAGGUUGUGAACUCGAAGAGUAGGGCGGGACACGUGGUAUCCUGUCUGAAUAUGGGGGGACCAUCCUCCAAGGCUAAAUACUCCUGACUGACCGAUAGUGAACCAGUACCGUGAGGGAAAGGCGAAAAGAACCCCGGCGAGGGGAGUGAAAAAGAACCUGAAACCGUGUACGUACAAGCAGUGGGAGCACCUUCGGGUGUGACUGCGUACCUUUUGUAUAAUGGGUCAGCGACUUAUAUUCUGUAGCAAGGUUAACCGUAUAGGGGAGCCGCAGGGAAACCGAGUCUUAACUGGGCGUUAAGUUGCAGGGUAUAGACCCGAAACCCGGUGAUCUAGCCAUGGGCAGGUUGAAGGUUGGGUAACACUAACUGGAGGACCGAACCGACUAAUGUUGAAAAAUUAGCGGAUGACUUGUGGCUGGGGGUGAAAGGCCAAUCAAACCGGGAGAUAGCUGGUUCUCCCCGAAAGCUAUUUAGGUAGCGCCUCGUGAACUCAUCUUCGGGGGUAGAGCACUGUUUCGGCUAGGGGGUCAUCCCGACUUACCAACCCGAUGCAAACUACGAAUACCGAAGAAUGUUAUCACGGGAGACACACGGCGGGUGCUAACGUCCGUCGUGAAGAGGGAAACAACCCAGACCGCCAGCUAAGGUCCCAAAGUCAUGGUUAAGUGGGAAACGAUGUGGGAAGGCACAGACAGCCAGGAUGUUGGCUUAGAAGCAGCCAUCAUUUAAAGAAAGCGUAAUAGCUCACUGGUCGAGUCGGCCUGCGCGGAAGAUGUAACGGGGCUAAACCAUGCACCGAAGCUGCGGCAGCGACACUAUGUGUUGUUGGGUAGGGGAGCGUUCUGUAAGCCUGCGAAGGUGUGCUGUGAGGCAUGCUGGAGGUAUCAGAAGUGCGAAUGCUGACAUAAGUAACGAUAAAGCGGGUGAAAAGCCCGCUCGCCGGAAGACCAAGGGUUCCUGUCCAACGUUAAUCGGGGCAGGGUGAGUCGACCCCUAAGGCGAGGCCGAAAGGCGUAGUCGAUGGGAAACAGGUUAAUAUUCCUGUACUUGGUGUUACUGCGAAGGGGGGACGGAGAAGGCUAUGUUAGCCGGGCGACGGUUGUCCCGGUUUAAGCAUGUAGGCUGGUUGUCCAGGCAAAUCCGGAUAAUCAAGGCUGAGGUGUGAUGACGAGGCACUACGGUGCUGAAGUAACAAAUGCCCUGCUUCCAGGAAAAGCCUCUAAGCAUCAGGUAACAUUAAAUCGUACCCCAAACCGACACAGGUGGUCAGGUAGAGAAUACCAAGGCGCUUGAGAGAACUCGGGUGAAGGAACUAGGCAAAAUGGUGCCGUAACUUCGGGAGAAGGCACGCUGGUGUGUAGGUGAAGUCCCUGCGGAUGGAGCUGAGACCAGUCGAAGAUACCAGCUGGCUGCAACUGUUUAUUAAAAACACAGCACUGUGCAAACACGAAAGUGGACGUAUACGGUGUGACGCCUGCCCGGUGCCGGAAGGUUAAUUGAUGGGGUUAUCCGUAAGGAGAAGCUCUUGAUCGAAGCCCCGGUAAACGGCGGCCGUAACUAUAACGGUCCUAAGGUAGCGAAAUUCCUUGUCGGGUAAGUUCCGACCUGCACGAAUGGCGUAAUGAUGGCCAGGCUGUCUCCACCCGAGACUCAGUGAAAUUGAACUCGCUGUGAAGAUGCAGUGUACCCGCGGCAAGACGGAAAGACCCCGUGAACCUUUACUAUAGCUUGACACUGAACAUUGAGCCUUGAUGUGUAGGAUAGGUGGGAGGCUUUGAAGCGUGGACGCCAGUCUGCGUGGAGCCAACCUUGAAAUACCACCCUUUAAUGUUUGAUGUUCUAACGUUGGCCCCUGACCGGGGUUGCGGACAGUGUCUGGUGGGUAGUUUGACUGGGGCGGUCUCCUCCCAAAGCGUAACGGAGGAGCACGAAGGUUAGCUAAUCCUGGUCGGACAUCAGGAGGUUAGUGCAAUGGCAUAAGCUAGCUUGACUGCGAGCGUGACGGCGCGAGCAGGUGCGAAAGCAGGUCAUAGUGAUCCGGUGGUUCUGAAUGGAAGGGCCAUCGCUCAACGGAUAAAAGGUACUCCGGGGAUAACAGGCUGAUACCGCCCAAGAGUUCAUAUCGACGGCGGUGUUUGGCACCUCGAUGUCGGCUCAUCACAUCCUGGGGCUGAAGUAGGUCCCAAGGGUAUGGCUGUUCGCCAUUUAAAGUGGUACGCGAGCUGGGUUUAGAACGUCGUGAGACAGUUCGGUCCCUAUCUGCCGUGGGCGCUGGAGAAUUGAGGGGGGCUGCUCCUAGUACGAGAGGACCGGAGUGGACGCAUCACUGGUGUUCGGGUUGUCAUGCCAAUGGCACUGCCCGGUAGCUAAAUGCGGAAGAGAUAAGUGCUGAAAGCAUCUAAGCACGAAACUUGCCCCGAGAUGAGUUCUCCCUGAGACUUUAAGUCUCCUGAAGGAACGUUGAAGACGACGACGUUGAUAGGCCGGGUGUGUAAGCGCAGCGAUGCGUUGAGCUAACCGGUACUAAUGAACCGUGAGGCUUAACCU